GCGCUCGUGGCGGAAUUGGUAGACGCGCAGCGUUGAGGUCGCUGUGGGGUAACACCCGUGCGAGUUCGAGUCUCGCCGAGCGCACCA
rnacentral:tRNA from 6 species